CUAUGUUUCCUGCCCUUUGCUGUUUGCAGAAUAUCUAUAAGUUGCAGAGACUUAUAGAACUAGAAUCAAAUCAACCUUUUUGUUUUUCGCAGAAUAUCAGAGACUUUCAGUUCUCCUAUUUGAAGCCCUUCUGCGGUUGUAUUUCACAUCUUCUCGUUAUAUAAAAAUCCCCCUGAAGCUCAGACGGCACAACAUCAGCAGAGAUCUCAGAGUUGUGAUGGAUGUUUCUUCUCUUCAGAUCAACACAAGGUGGGAUAACACACAGAAAACUGCUGGAGCAUCAGAAACCAGAUAAGAAAAAACAACAGAAAUGGAGGCCAGAAAUGAGACACAAACCAGUGAAACACAAGAGAAAAGCAGACAGACGCUUGUUAGAUGUAACAGUAUGAAGAACCUAAAACCAAACUUCUCUCGUGAUCCAGACGGACCUGUAAACUUUAAUUCUGGAGAAACUUCAGCAUGUUCUGAAGAACACACAACAUCCCUGAGACAGCAGCAGCUGAAGACAACACCAUCAUGAUCACAGACUCCAUCCAUCCACACUACAGUCUGCUCAGAUCUCAGGGACGUGCAGACAUUUUGAGCGGCAGGGGCUCAAGUGGAAAAAAGGCACUUUUCAUAUUUAAUUUUUUAAAAGGUUAAAUAUUAACAAAACUCUGACUUACCAAUUUAUUUUAAUUCCCUGACACUCACCCAGUUGGUUCAUGUUGUUUCAUUUUAUAACAGAUAACUACAAACUACAAAAUAAUAAGUUCACAUAGAGACCAUGGUCUUCUUUAGCAUUCACUAAUUCUAUCACAAGAACAGGCAACAACUAAAGAAACUAAGCCACAAUGUGCAUGUUUUCUACUAGUUUCAUGUAUUUAGAAUAAAUGACUGCACAAAGGUGAGGGACAUAUUUUUACUAAUAAUAACAAGAAAAUAAAUUGUUUUGAUUCUUUUGGUGUUAUUUUAAUGUAUAUGCCCAUGAUAUAUUGCCUUAGCUAAACUUUAGCUAAUUUAUGACAGGGUAGGUCAUGAGUCAUGGAUGUUAGCAAGACAAAUUAACUAUGUUCGCCUUUGGUCUUUUGGAUCAUUAGUCUUUUGUUCAUCACCACUCACCUCCACACCAAGACAAGCACAACUGGAGAGGGAAGGAGAGAGGGAGUGCUUCACUUCUGCGGCUCUCUGUCUGUCUGUGAUGUGCAUGUGCUGAUCAAUGUGUGCUACACUGCUGCGUAAGGCAUCGGAACUCGACAGUCUCAACAUUUCCCGACCCGACCCGACAUGAUAUUUUGAUUUUUUAUUUGUUUGACAGGGAAAGCUGUGCGCAAACAGAAUCACACAUGCACACAUAGCCUACAUAUAUUCAUUCAUUUAAAAAAAAAAAAAAACUCCCCAGAAAAAAGGGCAAGUGCUCAAGUCCCCUUUGAUGUCUAUGUGUGCACGUGCCUGCAGCUCCUGGACUCUUUCAUCUGUUCAUCCUGAUUAUUGAUCUCUGGCUAAUUUGGUUCUUCAAACAAGUUAGCAGAUUUGAUUAAAAUAUCUGGAUUAAGUUGUCUAAGCUUACUGUAAACUCACAGCUCAGACAAAUUUUACAUAAUGUGUGUUUGACUACAAUUAAAUUAUGAGAUAAUUAUUCCUUCGCUAAUAAACCUCUCAAGGAGUAAAAUGAAAUAAAAAAUGUGAAAUAAGCUUGAUCCGGAGCAGGUUUGAGCAAACGGACCUGUUGCUAUGACAACAACUUCAGGAUGAGCUUCAAAGAACCAAUCAAUCCUGGAUCAAAUCAUCAAGCCCAGCUUUCACAGACUCAUCUAAUCAAACAGACUAAUGAACAGUGUUUCUCAGAUCCGGUUCUUUAGACGUCACUUUUACUGACAACUUUCUGCACGUCACAGUUUCCUGCAUUUGAUAGUGAACACUUACAUGAUAUAAGACGUGGAAACACAACACAGACGGCUGCUCCAUCACACAACACACAUUCAUACAAUUCACACUGAAUCAACGAUGAACUGCCUUUAACUGAAAAUUGAAUGUUUACUCAGUUGUCCUAAAAUUGUCCUUCUGCAUUAUUGACACACUAUUUUCCCAUUUGAUACUGUAAAGCUGCUUUGGCACAAUCUGUAUUGUUAAAAGUGUGAUAUAAAUGAAGGUGACUUGACUUGACAAAUAAACAACUGACCCCUGUAACACAGUCAGGUGUCUCCCUCUACAGGCGAUCAUCAGAAUCACAGCAGAGUUAAAGAUCUACAAAUAUAUCUGAAAGUAUUUUACAGCAACAGCAAUGAAAACACACUUCAUCAGCUGAUAUGAUGUUAUCUCUUCCUGAGAACUCCCCCCAAAAAGCUUUGUGAAUUUAGUAUUUUUUUUUCAUGUCAUUACAUUGUUUAGAGCAUAAGAAAAAAAUGGGAAAAUAACAUUUUUGAAAUUUUUUAUUUUAUUAAUAUUUUAUUCUAUGUCCUCUGUGGAGGACACCAGGACUCAGUUUUUCUAAAAAUAAAAUGGCAUGAAUAGACAU